rnacentral:tRNA from 1 species
UUAGGGAGGUGGGAGUUGAACCCACGACAAAGAAG